rnacentral:rRNA from 1 species
ACUAAGCGUACACGGUGGAUGCCCUGGCAGUCAGAGGCGAUGAAGGACGUGCUAAUCUGCGAUAAGCGUCGGUAAGGUGAUAUGAACCGUUAUAACCGGCGAUUUCCGAAUGGGGAAACCCAGUGUGUUUCGACACACUAUCAUUAACUGAAUCCAUAGGUUAAUGAGGCGAACCGGGGGAACUGAAACAUCUAAGUACCCCGAGGAAAAGAAAUCAACCGAGAUUCCCCCAGUAGCGGCGAGCGAACGGGGAGCAGCCCAGAGCCUGAAUCAGUGUGUGUGUUAGUGGAAGCGUCUGGAAAGGCGCGCGAUACAGGGUGACAGCCCCGUACACAAAAAUGCACAUGCUGUGAGCUCGAUGAGUAGGGCGGGACACGUGGUAUCCUGUCUGAAUAUGGGGGGACCAUCCUCCAAGGCUAAAUACUCCUGACUGACCGAUAGUGAACCAGUACCGUGAGGGAAAGGCGAAAAGAACCCCGGCGAGGGGAGUGAAAAAGAACCUGAAACCGUGUACGUACAAGCAGUGGGAGCACGCUUAGGCGUGUGACUGCGUACCUUUUGUAUAAUGGGUCAGCGACUUAUAUUCUGUAGCAAGGUUAACCGAAUAGGGGAGCCGAAGGGAAACCGAGUCUUAACUGGGCGUUAAGUUGCAGGGUAUAGACCCGAAACCCGGUGAUCUAGCCAUGGGCAGGUUGAAGGUUGGGUAACACUAACUGGAGGACCGAACCGACUAAUGUUGAAAAAUUAGCGGAUGACUUGUGGCURGGGGUGAAAGGCCAAUCAAACCGGGAGAUAGCUGGUUCUCCCCGAAAGCUAUUUAGGUAGCGCCUCGUGAAUUCAUCUCCGGGGGUAGAGCACUGUUUCGGCAAGGGGGUCAUCCCGACUUACCAACCCGAUGCAAACUGCGAAUACCGGAGAAUGUUAUCACGGGAGACACACGGCGGGUGCUAACGUCCGUCGUGAAGAGGGAAACAACCCAGACCGCCAGCUAAGGUCCCAAAGUCAUGGUUAAGUGGGAAACGAUGUGGGAAGGCCCAGACAGCCAGGAUGUUGGCUUAGAAGCAGCCAUCAUUUAAAGAAAGCGUAAUAGCUCACUGGUCGAGUCGGCCUGCGCGGAAGAUGUAACGGGGCUAAACCAUGCACCGAAGCUGCGGCAGCGACGCUUAUGCGUUGUUGGGUAGGGGAGCGUUCUGUAAGCCUGCGAAGGUGUGCUGUGAGGCAUGCUGGAGGUAUCAGAAGUGCGAAUGCUGACAUAAGUAACGAUAAAGCGGGUGAAAAGCCCGCUCGCCGGAAGACCAAGGGUUCCUGUCCAACGUUAAUCGGGGCAGGGUGAGUCGACCCCUAAGGCGAGGCCGAAAGGCGUAGUCGAUGGGAAACAGGUUAAUAUUCCUGUACUUGGUGUUACUGCGAAGGGGGGACGGAGAAGGCUAUGUUGGCCGGGCGACGGUUGUCCCGGUUUAAGCGUGUAGGCUGGUUUUCCAGGCAAAUCCGGAAAAUCAAGGCUGAGGCGUGAUGACGAGGYACUACGGUGCUGAAGCAACAAAUGCCMUGCUUCCAGGAAAAGCCUCUAAGCAUCAGGUAACAUCAAAUCGUACCCCAAACCGACACAGGUGGUCAGGUAGAGAAUACCAAGGCGCUUGAGAGAACUCGGGUGAAGGAACUAGGCAAAAUGGUGCCGUAACUUCGGGAGAAGGCACGCUGAUAUGUAGGUGAAGUCCCUCGCGGAUGGAGCUGAAAUCAGUCGAAGAUACCAGCUGGCUGCAACUGUUUAUUAAAAACACAGCACUGUGCAAACACGAAAGUGGACGUAUACGGUGUGACGCCUGCCCGGUGCCGGAAGGUUAAUUGAUGGGGUCAGCGCAAGCGAAGCUCUUGAUCGAAGCCCCGGUAAACGGCGGCCGUAACUAUAACGGUCCUAAGGUAGCGAAAUUCCUUGUCGGGUAAGUUCCGACCUGCACGAAUGGCGUAAUGAUGGCCAGGCUGUCUCCACCCGAGACUCAGUGAAAUUGAACUCGCUGUGAAGAUGCAGUGUACCCGCGGCAAGACGGAAAGACCCCGUGAACCUUUACUAUAGCUUGACACUGAACAUUGAGCCUUGAUGUGUAGGAUAGGUGGGAGGCUUUGAAGUGUGGACGCCAGUCUGCAUGGAGCCGACCUUGAAAUACCACCCUUUAAUGUUUGAUGUUCUAACGUKGACCCGURAUCCGGGUUGCGGACAGUGUCUGGUGGGUAGUUUGACUGGGGCGGUCUCCUCCUAAAGAGUAACGGAGGAGCACGAAGGUUGGCUAAUCCUGGUCGGACAUCAGGAGGUUAGUGCAAUGGCAUAAGCCAGCUUGACUGCGAGCGUGACGGCGCGAGCAGGUGCGAAAGCAGGUCAUAGUGAUCCGGUGGUUCUGAAUGGAAGGGCCAUCGCUCAACGGAUAAAAGGUACUCCGGGGAUAACAGGCUGAUACCGCCCAAGAGUUCAUAUCGACGGCGGUGUUUGGCACCUCGAUGUCGGCUCAUCACAUCCUGGGGCUGAAGUAGGUCCCAAGGGUAUGGCUGUUCGCCAUUUAAAGUGGUACGCGAGCUGGGUUUAGAACGUCGUGAGACAGUUCGGUCCCUAUCUGCCGUGGGCGCUGGAGAACUGAGGGGGGCUGCUCCUAGUACGAGAGGACCGGAGUGGACGCAUCACUGGUGUUCGGGUUGUCAUGCCAAUGGCACUGCCCGGUAGCUAAAUGCGGAAGAGAUAAGUGCUGAAAGCAUCUAAGCACGAAACUUGCCCCGAGAUGAGUUCUCCCUGACCAGAACGCAGAAGCGGUCUGAUAAAACAGAAUUUGCCUGGCGGCMGUAGCGCGGUGGUCCCACCUGACCCCAUGCCGAACUCAGAAGU